GACGAACGCUGGCGGCGUGCUUAACACAUGCAAGUCGAGCGGUAAGGCCCUUUCGGGGUACGACGAGCGGCGAACGGGUGAGUAACACGUGGGUGACCUCGCCCUCCAGCUCUGGGAGUAAGCCUGGGAAACGUAGGGUCUAAUACUGGAUAUGACUCCACGGUGCAUGUCGUGGGGUGGAAAGCCUUGUGCGGCUGAGGAUGGGCCCGCGCCUAUCAGCUUGUUGGUGGGGUGAGGCCUACCAAGGCGACGACGGGUAGCCGGCCUGAGAGGGCGACCGGCCACACUGGGACUGAGACACGGGCCCAGACUCCUACGGGAGGCAGCAGUGGGGAAUCUUGCGCAAUGGGCGAAAGCCUGACGCAGCGACGCCGCGUGAGGGAUGACGGCCUGGUGUAA
rnacentral:rRNA from 1 species